GAUAAGUAAUAAUCUGACAGAUUAAAAAGAAGGAACAAGAAAAGAAAAUGAUGAUGCUACAGUCAGAUCUUCGUUCUGCUAUUCAAAUUGCAGCCACGUUUUGCUAUAUCAAUCCUCGUCCAAAUCGUUACGAAACGCCACCGUAUAGACGUGUUUCUGUGCGUACACCGGUGCGUACGGCGGCGUUGAAAAUAGAAGUAUCUGAUAAGCCUCCGAUAUGUACUGCCGAUGAACUUCAUUACGUUUCCAUUCAUAAUUCCGAUUGGCGUCUCGCACUUUGGCGUUACAAACCUCCUCCUCAGGCACCUCCAAGGAAUCAUCCGUUACUGCUUUUGAGUGGAGUUGGCACAAAUGCAAUUGGAUAUGAUCUUGCUCCUGGGUCUUCAUUCGCACGUCACAUGGCUAGCCAAGGAUUCGAUACAUGGAUCCUAGAAUUUCGAGGAGCCGGAUUGAGUUCAGAGGUGGCCUCUAAGGAUGUCAAGGAGCCAAUAAGCCUUCCUUCUGAGCGGAUGAAUUCACCAAACAGCCUCAAUUCUGAUUCUUCUGCACAAAGUAAAGUUUCUUCUACUAAAGAAGAUAAAAAGACUGUUGAAUCUGAUCAAUCACAGUUAUUGAUGACAUUCAGCGAAACUUUUAAGCGUUUUUCAGAGAGAUUAUCGAACCUGAUUAAGGAAGGUUCUCCGGAAAAUUUACAAAAUUCCACUCUUGCUAUCCAAAUAAGAGAUAUAAGUCAAAGUCUUGCAGAUAUUAUCGAAGAAGGUCAACGAUCAGUGUCUCCACCAUUCACUGAUUUGUUAGAUCGCUUUUCUUCCACAAUUGAAAGCCUCCAAACCCAGAUUAACCUCCUUGGGAAGUAUAAUUGGGACUUUGACCACUACCUUGAAGAGGAUGUUCCUGCUGCGAUGGAAUACAUACAAAGACAAUGCAAUCCAAAAGAUGGCAAGUUACUUGCAAUUGGCCAUUCUAUGGGUGGUAUCUUGCUCUACUCAAUGCUCGCUCGAAAUGUUUGUGAUGGAAGAGACUCCAGGUUGGCUGCAAUUGUUACUUUGGGGGCUUCACUUGAUUACACCACAUCAAAAUCAUCACUGAAAUUACUUACACCCUUGGCAGAUCCGGCUCACGCCUUAAGUGUUCCAGCUGUUCCUCUAGGUGCAUUGCUUGCAGCAGCUUACCCUCUUGCAUCUCGCCCUCCAUAUGUUAUGUCCUGGUUAAACCGUCUCAUCACUGCACAGGAUAUGGUGCAUCCGGAUCUCAUGGAGAAGUUCAUUAUGAACAACUUCUGUACCGUGCCUGCUAAACUACUUUUGCAGCUAACAACAGCCUUUCAAGAAGGUGGAUUACGUGACAGAAGUGGAACUUUCUUCUACAAAGAUCAUCUCAAGAAUAUUGAUGUUCCUGUCUUAGCCAUUGCUGGUGACCUUGAUCUCAUUUGUCCACCUGAAGCUGUAUAUGGAGGGUAAAUAUCUACAAGAACAGGAUAGGGGUGAUACCAAGCUGUUGGCCACUUCCAGAUUCCAUCUUCUAGAUCAGAAACUGUAUCAGUUUAUGAGUUGCCAGCCAUUUUAAUAUCUCUUGGAGUUGUAACAGAACAUAUAGGUCCAUAAUCGCUCCAAGAAUCGAACCAACAGAGGUCAGUUGGCCAUUCCCUAUUAGAGAUCGAACAUGAGGUCGGAUAGUUUCUCUAAGUUGCAACAACUUCCUCUGGCCUAUAAGUUUAUAAGAGUGAAUCCAUUGUACCCAAAGCGAGUUACGGUUGGUAAAGAUACUCCAAAAUAUGAACUUUCAUCAACGCCUUAUUUGCUUAAGAAACCCACCCAAUACCUUGACCACCUUCAAACGUAAAGAGGCAAGUCAUCUUCCAUGAGGCUUUAGCCUUCCCUUUUUUCAUCUUCCCUUGUCACCAAAGAAAUCCAUGUAUCUUCUUUUCAAGACUAUAAAUGAUACUUGCUGGAAGAAAGAAUGCUGACGCCCACUAGUGAUGCAUAGAGAACAGCAUAGAGUUGAUAAGCUGGAGUCUCCCUGUAGGGAACUCCAUAUUAACAAACAGGAAGUUUACCUUCUUCGAGUGGUAGUAUAUCCAAGAUAGCUAUUUCACCUGCUCCGAAACGUUACAAAAGAACACUGUACGUUUAGGAAAACUUGAGACCCAACAUGUUCUCAAAAGCAUUUACAGCCUCCAUUAGUACAUUAGUAGAGUUCUUAUCACCCCUAGCAAGAUCAUCUGCAGAACAAAGGUCGUUUUUCACAAUAAUUUGGAAUCUUGACCUGUUAACAAACUCUGUUAUGAAUCAACAACUUCAAACGAAAUCCUUUGAUUUAGACAGAUUUGCUAAGUAGCUCGGUAGCGAGAUGAAAGCGAGUUUCAAGGAUGCAAAAUCUCCGCAUAGAGGAGAGAGAAUUUGUGUGAUUAUUAUAGAUAAUCUAUGUGUUGGAUAUGAUUUGAUAAACUUUAUUUAUUACAAUUUACAACGUUUUUCCAAUUUUUGAUAAAUCAAUUUGAUAUGUUAAAUGCAUCACUAAGUUUUAAACUUUA